AUUCAUCAAUUGUUUUGUUUUGGUGGAUAUAAAACACAGCUCAGUUGAGCGGAUUCUUUACAAAUAAACUCUGCUGCUAACGACAAGUGACCGGCCGUAUUCACGAAUACUUCAAACAGAUCCAGCAUCAAGACACAAGAUGAGGGUGGUGCUGACUGUCAUCAUACUCUGCCUGGUCGUGUCAACACUAGCCAGUCCAAACAGGAUGGAAAGAGAAACUGGUAAUGCUCAGCUUGAAAAUAACCAACAGGCAGAGGCUGAUUUCAUUAGUAAUAGCCAAGCCAAUCCAGUAGUUGCAAGACGUGUUAAAAGAAGGGGUUUUCUUAUGGGAUGAGACGGCAGGAUAAUGGAACUCAUUAUUGUAAAUGAAGAUGAGAGAGGAUCGCAGAUGUAGGAGAUGAACUGGCAUUCAUCUGCAGACGUAGCCCGAUUUCUCAAUUAAGAUAUAUUAUUAUGUACAUGUAUGUAAUAUCAAUGCAUCUGAAAGAAGUCAAUAACGCUUGGCAUAUAUUUAUUAGAAAGUUCCAGUAAAAACAAAAUUAUUGAA